rnacentral:rRNA from 1 species
UGGGGAAUAUUGCACAAUGGGCGAAAGCCUGAUGCAGCGACGCCGCGUGAGGGAUGACGGCCUUCGGGUUGUAAACCUCUUUCAGCAGGGACGAAGCGCAAGUGUCGGUACCUGCAGAAGAAGCACCGGCUAACUACGUGCCAGCAGCCGCGGUAAUACGUAGGGUGCAAGCGUUGUCCGGAAUUACUGGGCGUAAAGAGUUCGUAGGCGGUUUGUCGCGUCGUUUGUGAAAACCAGCAGCUCAACUGCUGGCUUGCAGGCGAUACGGGCAGGCUUGAGUACUGCAGGGGAGACUGGAAUUCCUGGUGUAGCGGUGAAAUGCGCAGAUAUCAGGAGGAACACCGGUGGCGAAGGCGGGUCUCUGGGCAGUAACUGACGCUGAGGAACGAAAGCGUGGGUAGCGAACAGG